CUAUCGUCUAGAGGCCUAGGACAUCGCCCUUUCACGGCGGUAACCGGGGUUCGAAUCCCCGUAGGGACGCCA
rnacentral:tRNA from 2 species